CCGGCGCUCCCACCUACUGCAUCGCCGUGGUGCUGAACUGGACAGCUCCCCGCGACCGGGCGCUCUCACCUACAGCAUCGCCGCGGUGCUGGACUGGACAGCUCUCAGAGCAGGAGCGCCCACCUACUGCGUCGCCGUGGUGCUGAACUGGACAGCUCCCCACUCUGUGCGCUCCCUGAGCUCUGUAGCCCGCCAGGAGUGGGGCCAGGGCCAAGGGGCCUCUGUCCUCCAGGGACCGGCCAGGCCGGGGCCGAGCGCAGGGCUGCCAGGCCUCCCCGGACUCCUGUUCCACAGUUCCGGAAUGAGCGCUGGCCGGGGCCUCCUGGAGCUGAGAGGAAGGCGUAGCUGGCGAUCUCUCUCUCUCUCUCUCUCUCUCUCUCUCUCUCUCUCUCCUCUCUCCCUCUCUCUUGCUCUCCCUUUCUCUCCUCUUCCCUCCCCCCUCUCGGUGUUUCUUCCAGAUCAGCUUCCUUCUCAUUCCAUCUCUACGUGCCCAGAGCUUCAAAUACAGCCUUCCCAGUUAGACUGCCACAAAACUUCAAUCAGCUGCUUUUCCGCCUGGAAGAGAUGGACAUAGAACCUAGAUGGGUAAUUACAAACAUAAUCUCUAUGUUCUUUUUUCCUCUCCAAUCAUGGGUUGCACAAUUCUUUUUGGGAAGGGGAGGGGAGGUUGUUUUAUUUUAUUGGUUGGAUAGAUACAUCUCUUUCCUCAUUCCCUUCUUGAUCUCUGUGUCUUUCUGGCUAAUGGGGGUGUGCAUAGCUCUAUCUGUGACUCUGUAGUUUUCCGUGAAAUUCUACAUCUUACUUCUACAAGUAGACAUUUUGGAAAGAUUAUUUACGUGAAAGAACGAGAAAAGGGUGACUGGUAACUGGGGCUCGGGCCAUGAUUCUCAUCCCAAGGAUAAAAAUAUUUUCAGGAGAAGUGGGGAAAGACAGAAGCCUCCUCUUGCUCACCAGAACUGUGAGAUCGGGUUAAUUCCUGUGCCACCUCUCCACCAGACUGUGCGUGCAACUUUUAAUGCAACCCUGGAAAUUGAAGCACUUCAGCAAUGCUCCCAGCUGAGGAUGACAUGUUUUCUCCGACCAGUUUUGUGACUAAGUAAAAGGAGAACAUAUAAGGCA